UAAGAGGUCCUGCCUGCCCUGUGACUAUAAGUUUAACGGCCGCGGUAUUAUGACCGUGCGAAGGUAGCGUAAUCACUCGUCUCUUAAAUGGAGACCUGUAUGAAUGGCUUAACGAGGGCUUAACUGUCUCCUCUUUCAAAUCAAUGAAAUUGAUCUCCCCGUGCAGAAGCGGGGAUAGACCCAUAAGACGAGAAGACCCUGUGGAGCUUCAGACACAAAGCAAAAUCACGUUAAGAACUUCAAUAUAAAGAAUAAAACUUUGUGAACGCACUUGCCCGAAUGUCUUUGGUUGGGGCGACCGCGGGGUAAAAAACAACCCCCAAGAGGACAGGGAACAAAACUCCUACAAGCUAGAGCCGCAGCUCUAAUUAACAGAACUUCUGACCACACGAUCCGGCAAUGCCGAUCAACGGACCGAGUUACCCCAGGGAUAACAGCGCAAUCCCCUUUUAGAGACCCUAUCGACAAGGGGGUUUACGACCUCGAUGUUGGAUCAGGACAUCCUAUUGGCGCAACCGUCAUUAAGGGUUCGUUUGUUCAACG
rnacentral:rRNA from 1 species